rnacentral:rRNA from 1 species
GAGAGUUUGAUCCUGGCUCAGGAUGAACGCUAGCGGCAGGCUUAAUACAUGCAAGUCGUGGGGCAGCAGGUCCGUAGCAAUACGGAUGCUGGCGACCGGCAAACGGGUGCGUAACACGUACGCAACCUUCCUUCAGGCGGGGAAUAGCCCGGGGAAACCCGGAUUAAUACCCCAUAAAAUCUUGGGAUGGCAUCAUCCUAUUAUUAAAGCUUCGGCACCUGAUGAUGGGCGUGCGGCUGAUUAGGUAGUUGGCGGGGUAACGGCCCACCAAGCCAGCGAUCAGUAGCUGAUGUGAGAGCAUGAUCAGCCACACGGGCACUGAGACACGGGCCCGACUCCUACGGGAGGCAGCAGUAAGGAAUAUUGGUCAAUGGACGAAAGUCUGAACCAGCCAUGC